rnacentral:rRNA from 1 species
UACGAAGGGGCUAGCGUUGCUCGGAAUCACUGGGCGUAAAGGGUGCGUAGGCGGGUCUUUAAGUCAGGGGUGAAAUCCUGGAGCUCAACUCCAGAACUGCCUUUGAUACUGAAGAUCUUGAGUUCGGGAGAGGUGAGUGGAACUGCGAGUGUAGAGGUGAAAUUCGUAGAUAUUCGCAAGAACACCAGUGGCGAAGGCGGCUCACUGGCCCGAUACUGACGCUGAGGCACGAAAGCGUGGGGAGCAAACAGGGA